rnacentral:rRNA from 1 species
UACGUAGGGUGCAAGCGUUGUCCGGAUUUAUUGGGCGUAAAGGGCGCGUAGGCGGCCCGGUGCGUCCGCGGUGAAAGCUCCCGGCUCAACUGGGAGAGGUCCGCGGAAACGGUCGGGCUGGAGCAAGGUAGGGGGUCGUGGAAUUCCCGGUGUAGUGGUGGAAUGCGUAGAGAUCGGGAGGAACACCAGUGGCGAAGGCGGCGACCUGGACCUGUGCUGACGCUGAUGCGCGAAAGCGUGGGGAGCGAUCCGG